UAGUGUCACAGCUCUUUUAGAAUUUGUACAGAAGGUUUCCAUUUCCAUUGGAAGAGCUGAA
ensembl:snRNA U7 U7 small nuclear RNA